GCUGAUCAGCAUGCUGCGUGGCUUAGGAAGGCCAUUCGGGGUGUGAGGCCCUUUUGUUGGGAAAGAAAGCAGUCGGUUAAUACCCGAUUGUUCUGACGGUACCCUAAAAAUAAGCUCGGCUAACUUCGUGCCAGCGGCCGCGGUAAUACGAAGGGUGCAAGCGUUACUCGGAAUUACUGGGGCGUAAAGCGUGCGUAGGUGGUGGUUUAAGUCUGUCGUGAAAGCCCCUGGGCUCAACCUGGGAAUUGCAGUGGAUACUGGGUCACUAGAGUGUGGCAAAGGGUAGCGGAAUUCCCAGUGUAGCAGUGAUAUGCGCAGAGAUCGGGAGGAACAUCCGUGGCGAAGGCUGCUACCUGGACCAACACUGACACUGAGGCACGAUAGCGUGGGGAGCAAACAGGAUUAGAUACCCGGGUAGUCGACAGUCGACUAGAUGUGUAAGCAUCCGCAAAGGUUGACUUAAG
rnacentral:rRNA from 1 species